rnacentral:rRNA from 1 species
GGCAGGCGGCGUCUAUACAUGCAGUCGUACGCUUCUUUUUCCACCGGAGCUUGCUCCACCGGAAAAAGAAGAGUGGCGAACGGGUGAGUAACACGUGGGUAACCUGCCCAUCAGAAGGGGAUAACACUUGGAAACAGGUGCUAAUACCGUAUAACAAUCGAAACCGCAUGGUUUUGAUUUGAAAGGCGCUUUCGGGUGUCGCUGAUGGAUGGACCCGCGGUGCAUUAGCUAGUUGGUGAGGUAACGGCUCACCAAGGCCACGAUGCAUAGCCGACCUGAGAGGGUGAUCGGCCACAUUGGGACUGAGACACGGCCCAAACUCCUACGGGAGGCAGCAGUAGGGAAUCUUCGGCAAUGGACGAAAGUCUGACCGAGCAACGCCGCGUGAGUGAAGAAGGUUUUCGGAUCGUAAAACUCUGUUGUUAGAGAAGAACAAGGAUGAGAGUAACUGUUCAUCCCUUGACGGUAUCUAACCAGAAAGCCACGGCUAACUACGUGCCAGCAGCCGCGGUAAUACGUAGGUGGCAAGCGUUGUCCGGAUUUAUUGGGCGUAAAGCGAGCGCAGGCGGUUUCUUAAGUCUGAUGUGAAAGCCCCCGGCUCAACCGGGGAGGGUCAUUGGAAACUGGGAGACUUGAGUGCAGAAGAGGAGAGUGGAAUUCCAUGUGUAGCGGUGAAAUGCGUAGAUAUAUGGAGGAACACCAGUGGCGAAGGCGGCUCUCUGGUCUGUAACUGACGCUGAGGCUCGAAAGCGUGGGGAGCAAACAGGAUUAGAUCCGGGGUGGGUCUCAUACAAAAAACGGUGGUUUGGGGGCCCCGCGGAAG